UCUCCUCCAUACUUACCAGAAGUGUCAGCACUCAAGAUUUUCCAGUCAACACAGCUGAACUGUUUGUUUGCUCUUCCCCCACCAUGAUGCCUUGGAACAAAGGCAGCUGCUCUGGGAUGAGGUGACAACCAGAGCCUUUGUCCUGCAGUCAGGAAGUUUUCCAACACUGUAUGCAAGUCUAAGGAGCACAGGAAGAUGCACUCUACCAGCCAGGUAAAAAGAGGAAAAAAAAACCCCAGUAUACGUGAUGUUGUUUAUCAAGGAUAUUAUGGGCCAUAUACCAGAUCUAUCAGCAUUUGGAUCAGCAUCUCUUCUCCAUGCUUGUUCACCAUCCAUUAGUUCAUUUCCCACCAGUGUGAAGAUGCUG
rnacentral:lncRNA from 1 species